UGAUGGGUAAUUCAGUGGUGGAGUGCCUGCCUAGCAUGCAUGUGGUCCUGGGCUCCAUUCCCAGCAAAACAA
rnacentral:tRNA from 1 species